rnacentral:tRNA from 1 species
GUCGGGGUAGUUUAAAUAAAACACCUAUUUUACACGUAGGAGAUGGUUUUGGCUUUCUGAUA